rnacentral:rRNA from 1 species
UACGGGGGGGGGCAAGCGUUGUUCGGAAUUACUGGGCGUAAAGGGCUCGUAGGCGGCCAACUAAGUCAGACGUGAAAUCCCUCGGCUUAACCGGGGAACUGCGUCUGAUACUGGUUGGCUUGAGUGUGGGAGAGGGAUGCGGAAUUCCAGGUGUAGCGGUGAAAUGCGUAGAUAUCUGGAGGAACACCGGUGGCGAAGGCGGCAUCCUGGACCAAUUCUGACGCUGAGGAGCGAAAGCCAGGGGAGCAAACGGG